rnacentral:rRNA from 1 species
UACUCGAGUGGCGAACGGGUGAGUAACACGUGGGUGAUCUGCCUUGCACUCUGGGAUAAGCUUGGGAAACUGGGUAUAAUACCGGAUAGGAACCGUCUUUAGUGUGGUGGUUGGAAAGUUUUUCGGUGCAAGAUGAGCUCGCGGCCUAUCAGCUUGUUGGUGGGGUAAUGGCCUACCAAGGCGUCGACGGGUAGCCGGCCUGAGAGGGUGUACGGCCACAUUGGGACUGAGAUACGGCCCAG